UACGGGGGGGGCAAGCGUUGUUCGGAAUUACUGGGCGUAAAGGGCUCGUAGGUGGCCAACUAAGUCAGACGUGAAAUCCCUCGGCUUAACCGGGGAACUGCGUCUGAUACUGGAUGGCUUGAGUUUGGGAGAGGGACGCGGAAUUCCAGGUGUAGCGGUGAAAUGCGUAGAUAUCUGGAGGAACACCGGUGGCGAAGGCGGCGUCCUGGGCUAGUACUGACGCUCAUGCACAAAAGCGUGGGGAGCAAACAGG
rnacentral:rRNA from 1 species